UAUACUCUCAUGUUAUCAAAAAUAUAAAGGAAUAAAAUUGUAUCUUCAUCGAAAACAAUCAGUAUUAAAAUACACACUUUUUCAGUACAAAAGAUAUAGCAAUUAAUUAAGCUUGUACUGAAAUUAAGUGUGAUUCUUGACUAUUAGUAAGCAUAAUAAUAACCCUGGAUCUUUUCUCCCCUAAUCUGAAAAUUACUCAAAAACUAGCUGCUUUACUCAUUUUCAAAUUAUAGGACUAGACAAUUUCCAUAGUAUCAUUUACUGAUAAAAUUAUAUCUUUAAGAAGUAUUAAUGAUUAUGUUAACACAAGGUAGAUAGCCUUAUUAUAUGAAUUUAUGCAUUCAUCUUUUAUGUAUUUUAAAUCAACAUUUAUUAAAAAUUUUUAAAUGUAAUACAUGGUAAAAAAUUCAAAUGGUACAAACAGAUAUUAAAUGAAAAAUAAGUCUCUCUAUUCUAUCUCUGAUGCGUGGUAACUCAAUUGCCUUUUCUAUCAGUUACUGUUCUUACUGAUUUCUUCUUUUGGAUAAAUUCUUUGUAGUGGAAUUCUUAGGUCAACAGGUAUAUUCAUUUUAAUUUUCAUAGAAAUUGCCAUGAUAUCUUCUCCAGUGGUUCCCAGACAUGUGUGAGAAAGUCUACCUCCCCACAUCUAGUCAGACAGUAUCUCUCCUUUGAUCAACUUUUUGAUUUUGGUCAUUCCGACAGGUGAAAAGUUAAAUGUCACUCCAGUUUUAAUUUGCAGUAAAGGUGAGUAUCUUUUUGCAUACUUAAAAAGUCACUUGUAUUUCUUUUUUUUCCUGUGAAGUAAGAUUUUUAUAUAAUUUCUACAUUCACUUAUAAUAUUCUCAGAAAUUAAACAGACAUAAAACAGGCCAAAAGAAGAAUCUGUAGCAAUUUGAGAAGUGAUUCACUAUUUUUUAUAAUAUAGAAUAAUCAUUUUUGAUCUCCUUCCUCUUGGGGUUGGGUACUGAUAACAUAUAGGUGAAAAGAUAGAGCCACAAUCCCAAGAGGAUCACAUGUAAGUUAGAGAGGAGAUGUUCACAUGAAUGAAGAAUUCCAGUACAAGAGAUGGAUGCUAUAAACUGAAGAACAAAGGGCAUGGAGGUGUAGAAGAAGGAACAAGUGAGUUGAGAGAGAAAAACUCAGAGACAUGAAUUGAGUCUUCCAUUCUCAUAUUAGUUUGCUCAGGCUGCCAUAACAAAAUGCUAUAAAUUGGGUAACUUAAAAAACAGAAAUCUAUUUUCUCAGUCCUAGGGGAUUGAAAUCCAAGAUCAAAGUAUUGGCAGGUUUGGUUUCUCCUGUGGUCUCUCCCCUUGGCUUGUGGAUGGCUACCUUCUCACUGAGUCCUCACAAGCCUUUGGACUAAACUGAAAACAAAUAUUACGUACCCUGAAUCGGUGCUGAAACCACAAAGGAGAGCAUCUUUGGAUCCCUCCAAGUAAUAAAAAUAUUCUGUUCAGAAAGAAAUUGAACAAUAUAACAUUAUGGAGUGUAAGCUUUAAGAGUGACACAGCAGUAAGAAGAGGUAUAUAUUUUGAUGGAAACGAAAGUUGAGAAGAAUUUCGAAGAAUGUAGUGAAAAAUAAGGGACACUGCAUGUGCACAUUCAAAAGCAGGAUAGAGUGACUCAUGAAAGAAUGAAUCAUGACUCAGCAUUCCACUACUAGGGUAAACUGGAGACAAUCUGAAAUUUAUUUUAUUAAUAUCUUCCUUUCAAGGGACCAAGGUGUCACACUGCAAACUCCCACAGGGUAAGGAAUGUCUCUUCUACUUUCUUUGCUUAGAUGAAUACAGAAAGCUUUAUUAGGUGACACCUAUGGUUGGCUUGCUGAAUGUAUGAUUUCCAAUGGUAUCAAUUUUCAUUGAAUCUCACACCAAUUCUUCCAUAACUAGGUAUGGAUACUGGCAUCAUGUUAAACAAUAUCAAGAACCCAUAUUAUAAAAUUAAUGAGUCUUAUUCCCUACUAUUUUCUUAAAUACUACUAUUUUAAAAGCUCUUUUCACUUAGGUAACAGUAAAAAGGCAGCUAAGGACUUCCCUGGUGGUGCAGUGGUUAAGAAUCUGCCUGCCGAUGCAAGGGACACGGGUUCGAUCCCUGUUUCAGGAAGAUCCCACAUGUCGCAGAGCAGCUAAGCCCUGGAGCCGCAACUACUGAGCCUGCACUCUAGAGCCCACGCGCCACAACUACUGAGCCCACGUGCCACAACUACUGAAGCCCGCACGCCUACAGCCCAUGCUCCACAACAAGAGAAGCCACCGCAAUGAGAAGCCCACGUGCCGCAACGAAGAGUAGCCCCUCUCGCUGCAACUAGAGAGAGCCCGCACACAGCAACAAAGACCCAAUGCAGCCAAAAAAAAAAAAGGCAGCUAAGUGUCAUUUUCCCCUAUUGCUGCCAAAAAAUGUAUGUCAGAAUGAAGGUAUACUCUGUUUUGGUUCCCAACCUGGGUGUAUAAAAGUAUCAUCUGCAUAACUUAAAAACUACAGCUGCCAGGGCUUAUCCAAGUAAUGCUGAAAUAAAAUUUUUGAGGGAGGGUUUAAGUUUAUCUACUUUAAAAAAGCAUAAAAUAUUGAUGUGAUUCCCCUUUUAAGAACCAUUUUUAAAGCAACAAAUGCACUAAAUCAAAAACAGCAGAUGAAUACAUAUAAAUUAAUGACCAGGUUUUAUUAUUCAAUAAGAUAAAUCAAAUGCAAUUAAAAGCACACAAAAGUUUUGGAUUUUGUUUUAUUUGAAGAGUAUGCAGUAGGAAUGUAAAAUAUGACAGUUUAAAGUCUCCAUUUUAAAAUUGAAAAGAUAAACAUAAAUUCCAUUCAAUAAAAACAACACAUUUUUUGAACUCUGAAUCUAUAUUAUGCUCAGUUAAAGAAAGAAGAUUUGGAAUGAGGGGAAAAAAGGAGGAAAUGAAAAAGGUUGAACGAGAGAAGGAAGAUGAUAAACAAACAGGAAAGGAGAGUGUAAUAGGGUAAAAGGGAGAGAGACUAACAAAAAUACCCUUGGUCCCUUAGCUCCCUUCCGGCUACAAAGUCCAAGACAACAAAAAAACAAAGCAAGUUCUUCACCAUAUUAAUUUUUAUUUUUAAUUCUCAACAUUUUAAGCAUCAUUCAUGUCCUAUUACUUCAUCUCUAUUAAGACAGGAACCCCAAAUAUCAAAUUAUUAUGUUGUACACCUGAAAUUAAUAUAAUGUUAUAUGUCAAUUAUUCCUCAAUUUAAAAAAAGCUGAUCUUUCAACUUUUAGGAAUAAAUGACAGCGCUGCAAAAAAAGAAGACAAAGAUAUUAAAAGAAACAUGUUUAUCAGCUUAAGAACUAAAGAAAACACAAACUGAGAGAAUUCAUCACCAUAUGAAAAUAUACAUUAAACAUUAAAGGAAGUUCCUAGGCAGCAGGAAAAGAUCCUAAGGGAAGAAGAGUGGAAAUACAGAGAGAAAUGAAGAACAUCGGAAUGGGUAUGUGUCUGUGUAUAUAAAAAGAAAAACUGACUCUACAAAAAUGAAUGACUAUACAAAGCAAUAAUAAUUCUAUAUCAUGGAUUUUAAGACGAUGUAGAAUAAAAUGCAUGAAUGAAUUCCAGUUUAUAUAUUUUCUUGAAUCCAUCAUUAUACAAACUAGAUUUCCUUUAAUCUUAUUUAAUUUUUACUUAUUUCAGCCUGUAACAUUUGAGUUUUAUUAUUAAGGUAAUUGUUCUCAGGUUUCAAAAAAAGAAGAUGGAAUUUUCUUCUCUGUUAUGUAGAAAACACUGUCCAUGAAGACCUUAGUGCAUACUGUUGUAUAAAUAUUACUAUUUUCAAAGUAGCCUUAUUUUGAAAGAGCCUUCAAUAACUGAAAAUUAGAAAAUGAAUCUUAAAUGAGCAGCCAUCAGUUAAAGUAUUUUCAACAUGAUUAUUUGUAUUAAAAUUUAUUUUUAAAUGCCAUCACA